UCAAGUUCUGGAUCACUUCCAUCCAAUUUCAGCCACAGCAGAUGCCUUGUCCUCUGUGGGACGGGAGGGGUCCAAGGUGAAUGUGCCUUUGGACAAUCUGCCUGUAGUGUUUGUGAUUUAAAUUCAUAGGACACGUAUCCUCAGAGUAAAAGGGGCACCUCUAGCUAUAUUUAUGAAGCUCAAAGGAAGACAGAAUGACACCAGACCUGUGCAUUUCAGCUGAAUCAGAAAAGAGGUGGACAGAGGACAGAAAAAAUAUUCAAGAGAUCCAACUUCAGCUCAGGCAUCAGCGAGUGAAAUAAUGUGAUUGGAUUGGUGCUUCCUGCAUUUUGUAUUUGCAGUGCUCUGUAAGAUGUAUACAGCAAGAUAUGGAGGCAAUCCUGAAAGACUCAAGAGGACAAAAAGAUGAAGGAUUUAGGAUGCUAACAUGCCCAAACAGUGAACACAGAGAAGAACCAAUAAAACUUGCCUGCUUUGAAAGUAGAAGAAAUUUAUCAAGGUUGCAGAAGACCUGAGGUAUGAAAAAUCAGCAUUCCAGAAGGACAAAAACCAGAAAGAGACCACUCACACAACCACCAGCCUUCC